UCCAGACUCCUACGGGAGGCAGCAGUGGGGGAUAUUGCACAAUGGGGGAAACCCUGAUGCAGCAACGCCGCGUGAGUGAAGAAGUAUUUCGGUAUGUAAAGCUCUAUCAGCAGGGAAGAGAAUGACGGUACCUGACUAAGAAGCCCCGGCUAACUACGUGCCGGCAGCCGCGGUAAUACGUAGGGGGCGAGCGUUAUCCGGAUUUACUGGGUGUAAAGGGAGCGUAGACGGCUGGUCAAGUCUGAAGUGAAAGCCCGGGGCUUAACCCCGGAACGGCUUUGGAAACUGAGCAGCUAGAGUGCUGGAGAGGUAAGCGGAAUUCCUAGUGUAGCGGUGAAAUGCGUAGAUAUUAGGAGGAACACCAGUGGCGAAGGCGGCUUACUGGACAGUAACUGACGUUGAGGCUCGAAAGCGUGGGGAGCAAACAGGAUUAGAUACCCUAGUA
rnacentral:rRNA from 1 species